rnacentral:rRNA from 1 species
AUGAUUGUGAAGAAGAAGUUGAAGCUUCCUCCGUUUUUGACUAGUGAAGCUCACUCGCUGCUGAAAAGGGCAUGUUUUCCAGCUUGUUUUUGUCUGAAAAAAAUAACAAUAUUUCAGUUGCUGCACAAAGAAGCCGGCAAGCGGCUGGGAACCGGACCCGGCGGCAGCGACGAGAUAAAGAAGCACAAGUGGUUCAAGCCGAUCAACUGGAGGAAGAUGGACGCCCGGGAGAUCCAGGCGAGCAUCUGGCCUGACCUGCAUCGCCAAUUUCGACGUGUGCCGGAACAACACACCCGUGCUGGACUCCCCGGCGGCCACCCCCGUCACUGCCGGCGGCGGGCAAGGCAACUUCGCGGGGUUCACCUACGUCAGGCCCGCGCCGUUCCUCCGUGA